rnacentral:rRNA from 1 species
GGGUUGUGAGGUUAAGCGACUAAGCGUACACGGUGGAUGCCCUGGCAGUCAGAGGCGAUGAAGGACGUGCUAAUCUGCGAAAAGCGCCGGCGAGGUGAUAUGAACCUUUGACCCGGCGAUGUCCGAAUGGGGAAACCCAGUGUGUUCCGACACACUAUCGUUAACUGAAUACAUAGGUUAACGAGGCGAACCGGGGGAACUGAAACAUCUAAGUACCCCGAGGAAAAGAAAUCAACCGAGAUUCCCCCAGUAGCGGCGAGCGAACGGGGAGCAGCCCAGAGUCUGAAUCAGCUUGUGUGUUAGUGGAAGCGUCUGGAAAGUCGCACGGUACAGGGUGACAGUCCCGUACACGAAAGCACACAGGCUGUGAACUCGAAGAGUAGGGCGGGACACGUGGUAUCCUGUCUGAAUAUGGGGGGACCAUCCUCCAAGGCUAAAUACUCCUGACUGACCGAUAGUGAACCAGUACCGUGAGGGAAAGGCGAAAAGAACCCCGGCGAGGGGAGUGAAAAAGAACCUGAAACCGUGUACGUACAAGCAGUGGGAGCCUCUUUUAUGGGGUGACUGCGUACCUUUUGUAUAAUGGGUCAGCGACUUAUAUUCUGUAGCAAGGUUAACCGUAUAGGGGAGCCGAAGGGAAACCGAGUCUUAACUGGGCGUUAAGUUGCAGGGUAUAGACCCGAAACCCGGUGAUCUAGCCAUGGGCAGGUUGAAGGUUGGGUAACACUAACUGGAGGACCGAACCGACUAAUGUUGAAAAAUUAGCGGAUGACUUGUGGCUGGGGGUGAAAGGCCAAUCAAACCGGGAGAUAGCUGGUUCUCCCCGAAAGCUAUUUAGGUAGCGCCUCGUGAACUCAUCUUCGGGGGUAGAGCACUGUUUCGGCUAGGGGGCCAUCCCGGCUUACCAACCCGAUGCAAACUACGAAUACCGAAGAAUGUUAUCACGGGAGACACACGGCGGGUGCUAACGUCCGUCGUGAAGAGGGAAACAACCCAGACCGCCAGCUAAGGUCCCAAAGUCAUGGUUAAGUGGGAAACGAUGUGGGAAGGCACAGACAGCCAGGAUGUUGGCUUAGAAGCAGCCAUCAUUUAAAGAAAGCGUAAUAGCUCACUGGUCGAGUCGGCCUGCGCGGAAGAUGUAACGGGGCUAAACCAUGCACCGAAGCUGCGGCAGCGACGCUUAUGCGUUGUUGGGUAGGGGAGCGUUCUGUAAGCCGUUGAAGGUGUCCUGUGAGGGGUGCUGGAGGUAUCAGAAGUGCGAAUGCUGACAUAAGUAACGAUAAAGCGGGUGAAAAGCCCGCUCGCCGGAAGACCAAGGGUUCCUGUCCAACGUUAAUCGGGGCAGGGUGAGUCGACCCCUAAGGCGAGGCCGAAAGGCGUAGUCGAUGGGAAACAGGUUAAUAUUCCUGUACUUGGUGUUACUGCGAAGGGGGGACGGAGAAGGCUAUGUUAGCCGGGCGACGGUUGUCCCGGUUUAAGCAUGUAGGCGGAACGAUUAGGUAAAUCCGGUCGUUUAUUAACGCUGAGGUGUGAUGACGAGGCACUACGGUGCUGAAGUAACAAAUGCCCUGCUUCCAGGAAAAGCCUCUAAGCAUCAGGUAACACGAAAUCGUACCCCAAACCGACACAGGUGGUCAGGUAGAGAAUACCAAGGCGCUUGAGAGAACUCGGGUGAAGGAACUAGGCAAAAUGGUGCCGUAACUUCGGGAGAAGGCACGCUGAUAUGUAGGUGAAGCCCCUGCGGGUGGAGCUGAAAUCAGUCGAAGAUACCAGCUGGCUGCAACUGUUUAUUAAAAACACAGCACUGUGCAAACACGAAAGUGGACGUAUACGGUGUGACGCCUGCCCGGUGCCGGAAGGUUAAUUGAUGGGGUUAGCGGUAACGCGAAGCUCUUGAUCGAAGCCCCGGUAAACGGCGGCCGUAACUAUAACGGUCCUAAGGUAGCGAAAUUCCUUGUCGGGUAAGUUCCGACCUGCACGAAUGGCGUAAUGAUGGCCAGGCUGUCUCCACCCGAGACUCAGUGAAAUUGAACUCGCUGUGAAGAUGCAGUGUACCCGCGGCAAGACGGAAAGACCCCGUGAACCUUUACUAUAGCUUGACACUGAACACUGGUCCUUGAUGUGUAGGAUAGGUGGGAGGCUUUGAAGCGUGGACGCCAGUCUGCGUGGAGCCAACCUUGAAAUACCACCCUUUAAUGGCUGGUGUUCUAACGUAGACCCGUGAUCCGGGUUGCGGACAGUGUCUGGUGGGUAGUUUGACUGGGGCGGUCUCCUCCCAAAGAGUAACGGAGGAGCACGAAGGUUAGCUAAUCCUGGUCGGACAUCAGGAGGUUAGUGCAAUGGCAUAAGCUAGCUUGACUGCGAGAGUGACGGCUCGAGCAGGUGCGAAAGCAGGUCAUAGUGAUCCGGUGGUUCUGAAUGGAAGGGCCAUCGCUCAACGGAUAAAAGGUACUCCGGGGAUAACAGGCUGAUACCGCCCAAGAGUUCAUAUCGACGGCGGUGUUUGGCACCUCGAUGUCGGCUCAUCACAUCCUGGGGCUGAAGUAGGUCCCAAGGGUAUGGCUGUUCGCCAUUUAAAGUGGUACGCGAGCUGGGUUUAGAACGUCGUGAGACAGUUCGGUCCCUAUCUGCCGUGGGCGCUGGAGAAUUGAGGGGGGCUGCUCCUAGUACGAGAGGACCGGAGUGGACGCAUCACUGGUGUUCGGGUUGUCAUGCCAAUGGCACUGCCCGGUAGCUAAAUGCGGAAGAGAUAAGUGCUGAAAGCAUCUAAGCACGAAACUUGCCCCGAGAUGAGUUCUCCCUGAGACUUUAAGUCUCCUGAAGGAACGUUGAAGACUACGACGUUGAUAGGUCGGGUGUGUAAGCGCAGCGAUGCGUUGAGCUAACCGAUACUAAUGAACCGUGAGGCUUAACCUUACAACGCCGAAGGUGUUU